GAUCCUGGCUCAGAGUGAACGCUGGCGGUAGGCCUAACACAUGCAAGUCGAACGGCAGCACAGUAAGAGCUUGCUCUUAUGGGUGGCGAGUGGCGGACGGGUGAGGAAUACAUCGGAAUCUACUCUGUCGUGGGGGAUAACGUAGGGAAACUUACGCUAAUACCGCAUACGACCUACGGGUGAAAGCAGGGGAUCUUCGGACCUUGCGCGAUUGAAUGAGCCGAUGUCGGAUUAG
rnacentral:rRNA from 1 species